GCUAUUUGAGGCCUCUGUAUUCGUCAGCAGUAUGUCUAAGAAGCAUAUAAAAAUGUUGGUGGUUCCCCCAGCAACAUUGCAAAGCCAUCUGACAUGUAUUGAGUGGGGAGUGGGGUGUGGUGUGUGGUGGACAACUCUUCUCCAGUCAGUUACACAGGACGGGGUGGCAGUGAGCAGACUGGAUGUUCUGUCUCUCAGGAGCCACAGAGACGUUUGGUGGUCCUGGGAACAUUGUCGUCUCUGUAGAUCGACGGAAUUUCUCCACCUGCCACUGGGCUUUUCAGCACAAUGGUAAGAUUCAGCUCUCGGGCAUGCCUCUCCAUGCCACAGUGUCAGUGUGAGCCACAGCCGGGUCCUGGGGUUCCGGGGGGGUCCUGGGGGUACUGGGGACCAGUCCGGCAGAGGACCAGCCAACCAGCAGGGAAGGCAGUGUGAAGACUGUGAGAUGUGUUUCUGGUGUAGGGAAGUCCAACAUAAUCCUCAUAACAACAGGUAUGACAGUGCAAACGGAAGGUUUGUGUUUGCCUCUUUCGAAUCCGAGUGUGUCUCCUUACUCGUCUCUAGUAUACAGUCCCUUUACAAGUCAGAAUGUUGAAUAAACUUCAUUUGAACUUACUCUACCUGUUUGCUGCUGAUUUUGUCCUUCUGCCGUUGAAAAUUUUAGCCAAAAUAUCCACAGGAAACUAUUAUUAAACCGACUUCAAAACGCAGGUCUCCUUGUGUGGCUCUCACAAUUUGUUUGAGGCACAUGCACAAGACGUAAGUGUAUACUAAGUCUUGCAGGUGUUUACAUGGUUUUGCACAUGUCAGGUGAUAGAAUUCUCAAUGGCAAUACCAGUGUUUUGAAAAGUCGGUUUAAUAAUCCUGUGGAUAUUUUUUCUCAAAUUUGUAGAUGCAUAAGGACCAACAGCACAGACAACCGGUAGACAACCGGUAGUUCAAAUGACAUUUUAUUCAACAUUCUGGCUUGUAGAUCUCGUGAGAGUACAUUUUCCAGACAAAUGUAUAGCAUUGUCUCAGACUGUGUACCCAGAGGUAUCACAGUCUGAUUUAUUAGGCAAGAUUUGUGUAUAACGAAUUAUUCCUAAUGCUUGGAGAAAAGUGUAUAGCACUGAGCAGAAAGGAUGUAUCUCUGUUGAUGGGCCCUGUCUGAAAUGAUAUCCUUAGCCUUGGGUCUGCAGAGACCAUACAUACUUAGGAUGAACUGUAUGUAAUGUAUGCACAUAUUCAUAUUUACAUUUACAUUUACAUCAUUUAGCAGACGCUCUUAUCCAGAGCGACUUACAAAUUGGUGCAUUCAA